UUAUACAUAGAAACAACCGUGGA
rnacentral:miRNA from 1 species